GAGGGUAUAGCUCAGUGGUAGAGCACUUGCUUAGCCUGCAUGGGGCCCUGGGUUCAAUCCCCAGUAUUUCCA
rnacentral:tRNA from 1 species